AUUGAACGCUGGCGGCAGGCCUAACACAUGCAAGUCGAGCGAGCGGCGGACGGGUGAGUAAUGCCUGGGAAUUGCCCAGUCGAGGGGGAUAACAGUUGGAAACGACUGCUAAUACCGCAUACGAUUGGAUUGCACAGUUGGGAUUAGCUAGUUGGUGAGGUAAUGGCUCACAAAGCCGACGAUCCCUAGCUUGUCUGAGAGGAUGAGCAGACACACUAGAUCUGAGACACGGUCCAGAUCCCUACUGGAGGCAGCAGUGGGUAAUAUUUCACAAUGGGGGAAACCACGAUGCAGCCAUGCCGAGUGUGUGAAGAAGGCCUUCGGGUUGUAAAGCACUUUCAGCGAGGAGGCGUUACUCGCAGAAGAAGCACCGGCUAACUCCGUGCAAGCAGCCGCGGUAAUUC
rnacentral:rRNA from 1 species